rnacentral:rRNA from 1 species
AGUAAUACAUCGGAACGUGUCUUCUAGUGGGGGAUAACUGCCCGAAAGGGCAGCUAAUACCGCAUGAGACCUGAGGGUGAAAGCGGGGGAUCGCAAGACCUCGCGCUGGAAGAGCGGCCGAUGUCCGAUUAGCUAGUUGGUGAGGUAAAGGCUCACCAAGGCGACGAUCGGUAGCUGGUCUGAGAGGACGACCAGCCACACUGGGACUGAGGCACGGCCCAG